rnacentral:rRNA from 1 species
UGGGGUAUCUUGCACAAUGGGCGCAAGCCUGAUGCAGCCAUGCCGCGUGUGUGAAGAAGGCCUUCGGGUUGUAAAGCACUUUCAGCGGGGAGGAAGGCGAUAAGGUUAAUAACCUUGUCGAUUGACGUUACCCGCAGAAGAAGCACCGGCUAACUCCGUGCCAGCAGCCGCGGUAAUACGGAGGGUGCAAGCGUUAAUCGGAAUUACUGGGCGUAAAGCGCACGCAGGCGGUCUGUCAAGUCGGAUGUGAAAUCCCCGGGCUCAACCUGGGAACUGCAUUCGAAACUGGCAGGCUAGAGUCUUGUAGAGGGGGGUAGAAUUCCAGGUGUAGCGGUGAGAUGCGUAGAGAUCUAGAGGAAUACCGGUGGCGAAGGCGGCCCCCUGGACAAAGACUGACGCUCAGGUGCGAAAGCGUGGGGAGCAAACAGG